UUGGUGGGGUAACGGCCUACCAAGCCGACGAUCAGUAGCCGACCUGAGAGGGUGACCGGCCACAUUGGGACUGAGACACGGCCCAAACUCCUACGGGAGGCAGCAGUGAGGAAUAUUGGUCAAUGGGCGAGAGCCUGAACCAGCCAAGUAGCGUGAAGGAAGACUGCCCUAUGGGUUGUAAACUUCUUUUAUACGGGAAUAAAGUCAUCCACGUGUGGAUGUUUGUAUGUACCGUAUGAAUAAGGAUCGGCUAACUCCGUGCCAGCAGCCGCGGUAAUACGGAGGAUCCGAGCGUUAUCCGGAUUUAUUGGGUUUAAAGGGAGCGUAGGCGGGCUUUUAAGUCAGUUGUGAAAGUUUGCGGCUCAACCGUAAAAUUGCAGUUGAUACUGGAAGCCUUGAGUACAGUAGAGGCAGGCGGAAUUCGUGGUGUAGCGGUGAAAUGCUUAGAUAUCACGAAGAACUCCGAUUGCGAAGGCAGCUUGCUGGACUGUAACUGACGCUGAUGCUCGAAAGUGUGGGUAUCAAACAGGAUUAGAUACCCUGGUAGUCCACACAGUAAACGAUGGACACUCGCUGUUGGCGAUAUACAGUCAGCGGCUUAGCGAAA
rnacentral:rRNA from 1 species